rnacentral:ncRNA from 1 species
GGCCCGGCUUUUGCUCUGUCUAUUGCGCAGGUAGCCAACGGCGGUUGCCCCCACAUAUACGACAAAGACGUCGC